rnacentral:lncRNA from 1 species
AGCUAUUGAAGACCAGAAAGCCUUAGUGCGACCGGCUUGAUUCAGGUGGCCUAUAUGUAUACCAUUGGGAGAGUUAAAGAAGUUUAGUCCUCUAAAAGAAGUCCUCCGGAAAGUUUACUGCAACAAAGGGAAAAAUCUGGACGAAGCCGACUACCUCAACAGCGCACCAAUGGCAGAAGAGGACGGUCCGGAGGACAUGGGUGAAGACGAUUGUGUGGUGGAGGUCGCAAAUGUCCUACCUGGACAAAAAGCCAAGAGGGGAAGGGAGACUUGUUUCCGGAGGAGACAUCUUCAC